rnacentral:rRNA from 1 species
CCUACGGGAGCAGCAGUGGGGAAUAUUGCACAAUGGGGGAAACCCUGAUGUAGCGACGCCGCGUGAGUGAAGAAGUAAUUCGGUAUGUAAAGCUCUAUCAGCAGGGAAGAAAAUGACGGUACCUGACUAAGAAGCCCCGGCUAACUACGUGCCAGCAGCCGCGGUAAUACGUAGGGGGCAAGCGUUAUCCGGAUUUACUGGGUGUAAAGGGAGCGAAGACGGCAAUGCAAGCCAGAUGUGAAAGCCCGGGGCUCAACCCCAGGACUGCAUUUGGAACUGUGUAGCUGGAGUGUCGGAGAGGCAGG